UUCCUUCCGUAGGUGAACCUGCGGAAGGAUCAUUA
rnacentral:rRNA from 1 species